UGGGAAACCAAGUAUCGAAACAGUGCAGAAGUAUAUCAGCCUGAACUAUUCAUUCUUCUCCAUCUCCUAAGUAAAAUAGAAACCCUAAUUCAGAUCAUCGGAUAUCGCUCGCCUCUGCCGCUCCAUCUCCUCCGGCGUCGACGACUUCUCAUCGCUCCCCUCCGCCGCCGUACGCCGAAGCCCUGAAUUCUGUCUCCGCCACCCCCCCUCCGCGAUGCUCGACCUCUUCAUCCUCGUCAUCGUUCUCUUCUCCGGAGCCUUCCUCAUCAACUCCUGUUGCUCCUACAUUUUUCAGUUCCUCUCUCUCCUUCUUCCCCCUUUAUCCUCCGUCGCCUCCGACCCCAAUAUAUCUCGCCCUAUUGGCCGCUUCCUUCCUCGCCUUCGUCAGCUUCUUCGAGAUCUGUUGUGGCAGCCACUCACGGCGGUGCGGCCGUGCCGGAUGCAGGGGAUUGAAGCGGGGCGGCGGCUACGACAAACCAUGCCUCCUCGCGAAGCUUCGAAAUAUGGCGCCGCCUAAUGGCAACACCGUGCUGCUCUCCUGCCUCCGGUGCGGCUGCCCUAUCUCGGAAGGUUUUUGCUCAUUAGUUUUUUCCUGAUUUAAGCUUUGUUGUUGGAAUUUGCUUGAUUAGGCUUUGAGUCAAUGUUGUUAUGUAGAUCAUGGAUCAUUGCUAGAGUGCUGCUAGUUGAAUUUCUUUGGUAGAUUCAGACAAUUCUUUGCUGAUAAAUUAGUUUAUUCCAUGAACAAGACAAUGAAGUGGAAAACAAAACUGAGACUUGACUGUGUUUGUGUUUGUGUUUGUGUUUCUUUGCAUUUUCUUUUCCAAUUUUCUAGCAAGUUCUUGGUCGAUGGGUUUGGAAUUACUUCUCUAGCAGCAUUGCUAAUAGAUCAGGCAACCACUGUGUUGUUCUUAAUGAGAAAUCGUAAGUAAAUUCUGUCUUUAACAUAAAAGUCCCGGGGGACUUUAGGUACUUUUAUUAUGAUGAUUUUUUAAUUUGAAUGUGUAGGACAAUCUUAACUUAGGCUGAGAAAUAUAUAAUUUAGCAGUGGUGAAAUUUUUGGAGUGGGAAGAAAGCACUUCUCUACAGUUGUCUUGGCAGGUGUUGUUUAUCGAUGGAGUUUCCGAAUCAGGAAUCAGAGUCGUCAAAUUCGAUGAGGAAUCAGGUGUUGUUUAUUACUUUGUCUUUAUAUAUGAGAAUUACGUUGUUUGAUGUAUGAUAUUCUCCCCCUUAUUUUAGGAGUAUGUAAAGAACUCCAGAGGUGUGCAGCUGUUCACUUGCAAAUGGCUGCCUUUGUCUUCUCCAAAAGCUCUGGUUUUUCUCUGCCAUGUUGCAGGUUAUGGCAUGGAGUGCAGUAAUUUCAUGAAAGGUAGUAUCAUUUUCCUCAUAUUUUAGUCACAUUAUUUUUCUUAUUUUACUAUUCUCAAUUUCGAGUCCACCAUCAAUCAAUGUCUAAAAAUUUAUGUAUCCUCAACCCAAAAAAUAAAAAGAAAAAAAUUAAUUUUGUAGAUGAUUUCAUUAAUUCAUUCCAAUUUCCAACCAACAACAAAGUGAAAGCCUAUCCUGCAUUAAUAAUCACUUGUACUUUUCAUUAGUAUUAUUUUCUUUAUUUUCCCUUAAUUGGAUGGUUUCUUGCUUAUAACUAUUACCUAAGUGCAUUAGAAGAAAACCUGAAAUUAUGGCAUGUAAAAAGAGUUUGAAAAUGGAGUUUGGUGGUUUACUUUGGUAGUUUGGUUGAUUAGGUUAGCAAGCAGUUAUCUGUAAGCAUCAGAUGUCACUUAUUCACAUCUUGAAUUCAAUCAUACAUAAAAAAAAUUGGUUUCUUUGAAUUAUUAUCCAAGUAAAAUGGACUAGAUUGUGCAGUAUUCUGUGAGAGAGAUAAAUCAUUAUCCGAAAAACACUCUGCUUUUUUAUUAUUAUAUUUUUUGUUGCAGUUUUUUUUUAGUAUCAAAAAAGCGUUCUAGGAGGCUGCCCUCUUGAAGGGAGCUUAGGCACUGGGAGGCCGCCCUCUUCUGCGUCUGUUCCUGAAAUUGGAGGAGCUAUGAGCACCUUUGCAGACUAUGGAUUGACAGAAGUUGAUGCAGAGAUUCGCAGCAUUAUUGACAAAGAGAAGAAUCGUUAGUUUAGAAGCUUGGAGCUUAUUGCUUCAGAGAAUUUCACCUCUCGAGCUGUGAUGGAAGCAGUUGGUUCUUGCCUCACUAACAAGUACUCCGAGGGAUUACCUGGCAAAAGGUAUGUUAGAACUCAGAAGGGAAGUUCAAAGAUUGGGCAACUUCUGUGAGAGAGAUAAAUGAGGUUUGAGAAGAUUGGGCAACUUCUACCAUUAAUGAGCUUGACACGUGACAUGGAGAAGUUCUUGCGCGCUGAUACGACGUUUUGAAAGUUUUUUGCAACUAUUAUGAUUUGUGAGUGUGGUAUGUAGGAUUUUCACUUGAAAAAUACUAUUAUGGUGGAUUUUUAAAUCUUUUUUAGAUGUUCAUUAUGUUGUUGGGAGAUGUUGUAGAACAUUGGUUCUUAUUUUGUGGAUGUUGGAUGAAUAGUGGUUAUCAAUGUUUAAUUGGUCAUUUUCAGUA